GAUGAACGCUAGCUACAGGCUUAACACAUGCAAGUCGAGGGGCAGCAUGGUCUUAGCUUGCUAAGGCCGAUGGCGACCGGCGCACGGGUGAGUAACACGUAUCCAACCUGCCGUCUACUCUUGGACAGCCUUCUGAAAGGAAGAUUAAUACAAGAUGGCAUCAUGAGUUCACAUGUUCACAUGAUUAAAGGUAUUCCGGUAGACGAUGGGGAUGCGUUCCAUUAGAUAGUAGGCGGGGUAACGGCCCACCUAGUCUUCGAUGGAUAGGGGUUCUGAGAGGAAGGUCCCCCACAUUGGAACUGAGACACGGUCCAAACUCCUACGGGAGGCAGCAGUGAGGAAUAUUGGUCAAUGGGCGAGAGCCUGAACCAGCC
rnacentral:rRNA from 1 species